CGUGCCUAAUACAUGCAAGUCGAGCGGAGAUUUAGCAAUAGAUUCUUAGCGGCAACGGGGUGAGUAACGCGUUGGUGACCUGCCUCGAAGUUUGGGAUAACAGUUCGAAAGGACUGCUAAUACCGGAUGUGAUCGCGGAGAUUAGAGGCUCUGUGAUUAAAGGAGAAAUUCGCUUCGAGAGGGGCCUGCGUCCCAUCAGCUAGUUGGUAAGGUAAAGGCUUACCAAGGCGAUGACGGGUAGGGGACCUGAGAGGGUGGCCCCCCACAAUGGAACUGAAACACGGUCCAUACACCUACGGGUGGCAGCAGUAGGGAAUAUUGCAUAAUGGGCGAAAGCCUGAUGCAGCAACGCCGCGUGUGCGAUGAAGGCCUUCGGGUCGUAAAGCACUUUUGGAGGGGAUGAGGAAGGACAGUACCCUUCGAAUAAGCUUCGGCUAACUACGUG
rnacentral:rRNA from 1 species